GAUGAAGAACGCAGCGAAAUGCGAUAAGUAAUGUGAAUUGCAGAAUUCAGUGAAUCAUCGAAUCUUUGAACGCACAUUGCGCCCCUUGGUAUUCCGAGGGGCAUGCCUGUUCGAGCGUCAUUAUAACCCCUCAAGCUCAGCUUGGUGUUGGGGCCUGCUGCACUGGCAGCCCUUAAAUCAGUGGCGGCGCCAUCUGGCUCUAAGCGUAGUAAUUCUUCUCGCUAUGGAGUCCUGGUGGAUGCUUGCCAUCAACCCCCAAUUUUUCUAUGGUUGACCUCGGAUCAGGUAGGGAUACCCGCUGAACUUAAGCAUAUCAAUAAGCGGAGGA
rnacentral:misc_RNA from 1 species